UGGGGAAUUGUUCACAAUGGGCGCAAGCCUGAUGACGCAACGCCGCGUGGGGGAUGAAGGUCUUCGGAUCGUAAACCCCUGUCGAAUGGGACGAAAGACUCGCGAGUGAAUACUUCGCGAGAGUGACGGUACCGUUAAAGGAAGCCACGGCUAACUCUGUGCCAGCAGCCGCGGUAAUACAGAGGUGGCAAGCGUUGUUCGGAAUUACUGGGCGUAAAGGGCGCGUAGGCGGCCCUCUAAGUCAGACGUGAAAUCCCCCGGCUUAACCUGGGAACUGCGUCUGAUACUGGAGGGCUUGAGUAUGGGAGAGGGAUGUAGAAUUCCAGGUGUAGCGGUGAAAUGCGUAGAUAUCAUCUGGAACGCCAAUGGUGAAGACAACUCGCUGGGGAUUUGCUGACGCUGAGACACGAAAGCCAGGGGAGCGAACGGGAUUAGAUACCCAAGUAGUCCCUGAGCGGGCUGGCAAGGCG
rnacentral:rRNA from 1 species